rnacentral:rRNA from 1 species
GUAAGGGAUAUUGCGCAAUGGGCGAAAGCCUGACGCAGCAACGCCGCGUGGAGGAUGACGGCCUUCGGGUUGUAAACUCCUUUGGACGCAGACGAGGAAGGACGGUAUGCGUCAAACAAGUCACGGCUAACUACGUGCCAGCAGCCGCGGUAAAACGUAGGUGGCAAGCGUUAUCCGGAUUUACUGGGCGUAAAGCGUGUGCAGACGGGUGUUCAAGUGGUGUAUGAAAUCGCUCGGCUCAACCGGGCGCGGUUAUGCCAGACUGGAUACCUGGAGACAGAGAGAGGGACGUGGAAUUCCGGGUGUAGUGGUGAAAUGCGUAGAGAUCCGGAGGAACCCCUGAGGCGAAGGCGGCGUCCUGGCUCUGUUCUGACGUUCAGACACGACAGCAUGGGGAGCGAACGGGAUUAGAAACCCUAGUAGUCC